GAUUUCCGGAGACAAAACUAUAGUAUAUGUUUCUUCUUUCUAUGCGAUGUUUUGAAGUAACGAAUGUUAGAGCAUCAGCAUUAGUGAACCCCUUGGAAGGGGUUCACAAAACAUUUUUUUAUUAUUAUUUUUUUUCUGUUUGAUUUUUGUUUUUAAAAAAAAAAAAAAAAAAAAUUAUAACCGGACCAACCGCGGGCCGCCACGUGUCGUGGGGCCCGCGCUACAGUGAUGAUCCGGAUUCAGUGCAGUGAACUUCUAAGAGGGAGGUUCAUUGCUUUUGUUUAUUUUAAUAUUUUUUUUUUUUCGAAAACUGUGUGAACUCCCCAUGGAGUUCACUAAUGCAGAUGCUCUUAGGUUUCACCUUUGAAGAGCUGACCAAACGUAAGUAAGCACUCUUUUUCUUGGUAUAUAAAUAUACUAAAGAUAGCUCCUUCCUACUCCCACUAGCUAAUUGCUUUUGGAAUUCACAUUCUAAUUGAGAAAAAAAUAUUGAUUUGUUUCCCGAUUCUGCAACGUUUUACUCGAUAAUUGAUAUUAGUUGAUUUUUAUUAGACGAAAGUAGGUCUAAAAUACCUUUAUUGUAAAGUCUUUAUCUAACAACCAUCAACCAUGUAUAUAUUGGACUUUCGAGUAUGGGAUAAUCAAACUUCUAACACUGACUUGUUUUCCUGG
rnacentral:lncRNA from 1 species